CCCCCCUUCCAAGUAGCAAAAGGUGCAUGCCGUGUUUGUGAAAUUUGGGGAAGAAAGCAAUUUCUAGAUUGAAGGAAUCAAUGUUUCGAAUCAUUGGCUUCUUAGCCAUUUCAGUCAAGUUCAGCCUCAUAGUCUCAAAUGCACGGUGCUUAAUGUUAUUUCCCUCCUUUCAAUUGAUAUAAUUUUGUCGUUCAUUACACUGUUAUCUUAACUUGUGAUCGAUGAUGACUAGGAGGUUGUCUUCCUACAAGUUAUGAAUGAGUCAGGUUGAGCCGCAUAUAGUUCAUUUGUCCAAUUUAAUAAGAAGAUGUGGACUGUUGAGCACAAAAGAACAAGAUGUAGCAGUUGAACGAAGAGGCUAGACACUUCAAUCAUGCUCAUGUUGGCUCACCUCUUAUGACAUUCUCAUGAGUUCAAGAGAUUUGGGCCAGGGGGAGCUGAAGCGUUUAAGGUAGAUAGAAAUGACGAAGAAAACAAAAAAUGUUUUCUAACCAUGGAUAUCGAUGAAAUUCUUGAAAGAGCAUAUGUAUAUGAGGUAUGGGAUCAUACUUUUUACAAAGGCAAGAUGUCGAUUAUUUAUUUUUUAAAACUCAAAGGUUCAUUCAGGCCGUUUAGUUGGAAUAAACAAUGUUCCUUCUACACGUAUAACUGGUACAAACAUUUUCAAUGCAUUUGAUGCUAAAAUCUGUGAUUCACCUACAUUUAUAGUGGU